CUUGAUACCUUAAAUAUCCUAAAGGUACCAGAUCCUGUCUGACCUUGGAAGAUAUGCAGAAUCAGCUCUGGUUAGUACUUGGAUGGAAGACAGCCAGUGACUAUCAGAUGCUGUAUGGU
rnacentral:rRNA from 11 species